GUCAUAUGCGGAUAGAGAUGCAAAUAUCAAAGGUCAAGUAGGGACUACUUUAACUGUUUAUAAACAAACAUGGCGUCGCCCUCGUCAUUCGGGGAUCGACACACUCCGUCGCAUGGAACUCGUGUCUAAAUAUCCUGUAUUAGGAAUAAACACUAUGUAUUUAGCUCGCCAAGGCUCGCUUAAUACAAUGUUUAUUCCUAAUGCAGGAUAUUUACCAUCCCCAAACACACUCGCGUGAUAACCUCUAUAUACAUGUAGGUCAAUCAGAAGUCACGUGUUUACCGUUUGACCUGGGAGAGAGGUCAGUUGACAUUUUCAUCGGGCGGCCAUGGCGGCGUCUGCUAUUCCAGUUGUUGAUUUCCAGAAGUACGGACUGAAUGUAGCGGACCCUACGUCCGUGGCGAGUGAAGUUUUGGAGACUACGGCCAGGGAGAUAUAUGAUGCCUUCAGUGCAAUUGGCUUUGUGUACCUGAUCAAUCAUGGCGUUCAGCAGAGGCAGGUGGAUGACAUGUUCACAACGUCCAAGUCCUUCUUUGAUCAACCUGUGGAGGAGAAGAGGAAGUGUGCUCGAGUCCAGAGUGACCUUGGUGAUCAUGGCUGGGUUGCCCUGGAGAGAGAAUCGCUGAAUCCCGAGCGUUCAACUUUACACCAAGGAAUGAUGGGAUUUGUCAGCAUCAUAUCCGUUAAAUGGUAAACAUCUACGACCUGCGUCAUGCUGGGCUUUCCUCCCUAACAAAGAUGGCAAGAACGUCUCCCUGGUCAAGAAGUAGAGCGUCCCCCCUGAGAGCGGAAGGUCGGGGGUUCGAUCUGCGGCCGCGAGCAACCAAUAGACGUUAAAAGUCGACGUGGCCGGCGGAUGUUCCCAAAUUAAAGUCAACUUUCGUAUCCUUCUUCGAUGACUGCACAAAACUGGCAGAGCGAGUCCUUGAUGUCCUGUCUAUCGGCCUCAAACUUCAGG